UCCCAGGUGGCUCAGUGGUACAGAAUGUGCCUGCAAUGCAGGAGACCUGGGUUCAAUCCCUGAUUUGGGAA
rnacentral:tRNA from 1 species